rnacentral:rRNA from 1 species
CCUACGGGAGGCAGCAGUGAGGAAUAUUGGUCAAUGGACGAGAGUCUGAACCAGCCAAGUAGCGUGAAGGAUGACUGCCCUAUGGGUUGUAAACUUCUUUUAUAAAGGAAUAAAACGAGGCACGUGUGCCUUUUUGCAUGUACUUUAUGAAUAAGGAUCGGCUAACUCCGUGCCAGCAGCCGCGGUAAUACGGAGGAUCCGAGCGUUAUCCGGAUUUAUUGGGUUUAAAGGGAGCGUAGAUGGGUUGUUAAGUCAGUUGUGAAAGUUUGCGGCUCAACCGUAAAAUUGCAAUUGAUACUGGCAGUCGUGAGUACAGUAGAGGUGGGCGGAAUUCGUGGUGGAGCGGUGAAAUGCUUAGAUAUCACGAAGAACCCCGAUUGCGAAGGCAGCUUACUAAACUGUGACUGACAUUGAUGCUCGAAAGUGUGGGUAUCAAACAGGAUUAGAUACCCGUGUAGUC